GCCCGGGUGGUCUAGUGGUAUGAUUCUCGCUUAGGGUAAUAACCCCAAGCACAUUUGCGAGAGGUCCCGCGUUCGAUCCGCGGCUCGGGCC